rnacentral:rRNA from 1 species
AACGAACGCUGGCGGCAUGCCUAACACAUGCAAGUCGAACGAGACCUUCGGGACUAGUGGCGCACGGGUGCGUAACGCGUGGGAACCUGACCUUAGGUUCGGAAUAACUCCCCGAAAGGGGUGCUAAUACCGGAUAAUGUCUUCGGACCAAAGAUUUAUCGCCUUUGGAUGGGCCCGCGUUGGAUUAGCUAGUUGGUAGGGUAAAAGCCUACCAAGGCGACGAUCCAUAGCUGGUCUGAGAGGAUGAUCAGCCACACUGGGACUGAGACACGGCCCAGACUCCUACGGGAGGCAGCAGUGGGGGAUAGUGGACAAUGGGCUAAAGCCUGAUCCAGCUAUGCCGCGUGAGUGAUGUAGUCCUUAGAGUUGUAAAGCUCUUUUACCCGGGAUGAUAAUGACAGUACCGGAAGAAUAAGCUCCGGCUAACUCCGUG